rnacentral:tRNA from 1 species
GGGCCCGUUGCCUAGCCCGGUGUUAUACACAAUCUGUGUAUUUUGUGGUAAAUAGGGCGCCAGCCUUCUAAGUUGGAAAUCGUGAGUUCAAAUCUCACCGGGCCCGCCA